GCGGAUGUGGUGGAACGGCAGACACGCUACCUUGAGGGGGUAGUGCCUGUAUGGGCGUGAGGGUUCAAAUCCCUCCAUCCGCACCA
rnacentral:tRNA from 1 species